rnacentral:rRNA from 1 species
GAUGAACGCUGGCGGCGUGCCUAAUACAUGCAAGUCGAGCGAACGGACGAGACGCUUGCUUCUCUGAUGUUAGCGGCGGACGGGUGAGUAACACGUGGAUAACCUACCUAUAAGACUGGGAUCACUUCGGGAAACCGGAGCUAAUACCGGAUAAUAUUUUGAACCGCAUGGUUCAAAAGUGAAAGACGGUCUUGCUGUCACUUAUAGCUGGAUCCGCGCUGCAUUAGCUAGUUGGUAAGGUAACGGCUUACCAAGGCAACGAUGCAUAGCCGACCUGAGAGGGUGAUCGGCCACACUGGAACUGAGACACGGUCCAGACUACUACGGGAGGCAGCAGUAGGGAAUCUUCCGCAAUGGGCGAAAGCCUGACGGAGCAACGCCGCGUGAGUGAUGAAGGUCUUCGGAUCGUAAAACUCUGUUAUUAGGGAAGAACAGAUGUGUAAGUAACUGUGCACAUCUUGACGGUACCUAAUCAGAAAGCCACGGCUAACUACGUG